UACGUAGGUGGCAAGCGUUGUCCGGAUUUACUGGGUGUAAAGGGCGUGUAGGCGGAGCUGCAAGUCAGAUGUGAAAUCCCGGGGCUCAACCCCGGAACUGCAUUUGAAACUGUAGCCCUUGAGUAUCGGAGAGGCAGGCGGAAUUCCUAGUGUAGCGGUGAAAUGCGUAGAUAUUAGGAGGAACACCAGUGGCGAAGGCGGCCUGCUGGACGACAACUGACGCUGAGGCGCGAAAGCGUGGGGAGCAAACGGG
rnacentral:rRNA from 1 species